rnacentral:rRNA from 1 species
UCAGGCCUAACACAUGCAAGUCGUACGAGAGUUUUUAACUCUAGUGGCGGACGGGUGAGUAACACGCGAGAAUUUGCCUUUAGGAGGGGGACAACAAUUGGAAACGAAUGCUAAUACCCCAUAUGCUUUAGAGUGAAAUGGAUUUUAUCCGCCUAGAGAGAAGCUCGCGGCUGAUUAGCUUGUUGGUAAGGUAAGAGCUUACCAAGGCGACGAUCAGUAUCUGGUUUGAGAGGACGAUCAGACACACUGGAACUGAGACACGGUCCAGACUCCUACGGGAGGCAGCAGUGGGGAAUUUUCCGCAAAGGGCGAAAGCCUGACGGAGCAAUACCGCGUGAGG